rnacentral:rRNA from 1 species
UCCCUUAGUAAUGGCGAAUGAACAGGGAUGAGCUCAGCAUUAAAAUCUGGGCCCCCGGCCUUGAAUUGUAAUCUCGAGAAGUGCAACCAACGGCGGCGCAGGUGUAAGCCUCUUGGAAAAGAGCACCAAUGAGGGUGAGAGUCCCGUUUGUCAUCUGCAGUCCUCUGUGUACGGUGUGCUUUCUAAGAGUCACGUUCCUCGGGCUUGGAGCGCCAAAGGUGGUAAAUUUCAUCUAAAGCUAAAUAUAGGUUUGAGACCGAUAGCAAACAAGUACCAUGAGGGAAAGAUGAAAAGGACUUUGGAAAGAGAGUUAAAAGUGCCUGAAAUCGCUGAAAGGGAAGCGAAUGGAACCAGUGUUUCUUGCAGAGCUUGGCGAGAGUAAUCUGGAUGGUGCUCUGAUUCAGCGCAAGCGUUUCAGGGUUCUUUGAAGGUGCAUUCUUGCUGUUGCUCUGCUUGCUUGUCAACGUCAAUUUGGAGUUGGGGAAAACUCUGGGGUACUGGAAGCCACCUUUCGGGGGGGUGAACGCCCUUGUAGAACUCAUCUCUAGAUUGAAGUGCUUGCGUUUGGUUGCAAUGCCUCACUCUGUGCCAGCUGCCCUGGUAAAUUCAGCAGGUGCGCGGCGCUCAUCAGUGGGUGCGUUCCUUGACGCUACGAUGCUGACAAAAUGGUUUCACUCGACCCGUCUU